rnacentral:rRNA from 1 species
AUUGAACGCUGGCGGCAGGCCUAACACAUGCAAGUCGAACGAGUGGCGGACGGGUGAGUAAUGUCUGGGAAACUGCCCGAUGGAGGGGGAUCACUACUGGAAACGGUAGCUAAUACCGCAUACCAUCGGAUGUGCCCAGAUGGGAUUAGCUAGUAGGUGGGGUACCGGCUCACCUCGGCGACGAUCCCUCGCUGGUCUGAGAGGAUGACCAGCCAGAUUGGAACUGAGACACGGUCCAGAUUCCGACGGGAGGCAGCAGUGGGGAAUAUUGCACAAUGGGAGCAAGCCUGAUGCAGCCAUGCCGCGGGUAUGAAGAAGGCCUUCGGGUUGUAAAGUACUUUCAGCGAGGAGGCGUUACUCGCAGAAGAAGCACCGGCUAACUCCGUGCCAGCAGCCGCGGUAAUUC